CUUCUUUUUAAGUACAUUUUGACAUAAAACAUGUCCUGAACAUGAGAUAAGUUUUCUGGGGUACCCUGUGAGAAGAGAUCCCUGAGGCUAAAUGAUAAUUUAAAGUAACCUGCCACUUUAAAAUGAAUACAUAUGUUAGUACAAGAGAUACUCUUUAGUGGGUUUUUUAAAAUAAUAAUUAAAUAACAUAGUCAACAACUUAGAAUUUUGAAAAUUACAAUAUAACCUAAGCUAAGGAUCAAAUACAUAUGCACAUUUUCACUGAGAAGGGAUUGUUAGCAAAUAUUAUGUAAAGAAGAUUGUUUUUUUCCCCUUGUCUAGAGUCCUGAAAUCAUUUGUGAAUUAAACUACAGAAUCUUCUAUAUAGCUAGCUUAAUACUCUCUCAAUUGAACUCUGUUGCNCUUUCUUCUUUCUUUCUUUCUUUUCUUUCUUUCUUUCUUUCUUUCUUUCUUUCUUUCUUUCUUUCUUUCUUUCUUCUUUCUUACCUUUCUUUCUUUCUUUCUUUCUUUCUUUCUUUCUUCCUUUCUUCCUUUCUUCCUUUCUUCCUUUCUUCCUUUCUUCCUUUCUUCCUUUCUUCCUUUCUUCCUUUCUUCCUUCCUUCCUUCCUUCCUUCCUUCCUUCCUUCCUUCCUUCCUUCCUUCCUUCCUUCCUUCCUUCCUUCCUUUCUUCCUUCCUUCCUUUCUUUCUCUUCCUUUCUUUCUUUUUCUUUCUUUCUUUCUUUCUUUCUUUCUUUCUUUCUUUCUUUCUUUCUUUCUUUCUUUCUUUCUUUCUUUCUUUCUUUCUUUCUUUCUUUCUUUCUUUCUUUCUUUCUUUCUUUCUUUCUUUCUUUCUUUCUUUCUUUCUUUCUUUCUUUCUCCUCCUCCCUCACUUCCUACUUCUCUCUCUUUUUACCUUCCUCUUUCUUUUGCUUUUUUUAAACACUUUUUAAGUGACACAAAUACCGUUGUAAUUUAAGUCAUUAUUUUAUUUACUAAAUAAAAUGUAUACAUGCACACUUAUGUUAUAGAUA
rnacentral:lncRNA from 1 species